GUAGACCAGGGAGGAAAAUUGCCCCCGGUGUGGGGCUCGAACUCACAACCACCAGAACACUAGCCCGGCGCUCUAACCAACUAAGCUGACCGGGCAGCUGGUUCUAACCACCACACACUACCCUCCCCCCCAUUUACCGGUUAAGGCUGGUGGAGGGUCUCCUGCUAUUUACCAUUGACACCAUUAAAGUAUUCUGAUUGAUGGAGAUAAGGAAGUCCCCAUAUUAUUGUCUUCAACAAGCCUACCGCAACAGGGGACCUAGCAUAAGACCGGAAACCGCCGCCCCCCACACACACACACACACAUGAUAUUUGCCAGUCCAGGCAAUGUCAACCGCAAGAGAAAACCAGUGAUGACAAGUUUUACAAAUAAUCGGAAAGUGUGGUCUUUUGAAGAGAGUUCUUGAAGUUGUUCAGCAUGUUGUUUUGAUGGAUUCUUGGAAGGAUGUACCUCUAUGAUGUUAGCUUCAGUUCUGGAUUAUAACACCAGUUGUUGCAUAUUUAAUAUCAGAUUUAUUAAAUACAUUGUUGUUUUGCAAACAUUACUUAAACUUUGAUAUUUCUUUGGUGUUUAUGUAUGAUAUUGUAGGUGAAUAUCUCUUUAUUGCAAUGGCAAAUAUAUUUUAAAAUAUAUAGCA